rnacentral:rRNA from 1 species
GUGGGGAAUCUUGCGCAAUGGGCGAAAGCCUGACGCAGCCAUGUCGCGUGGAUGAUGAAGGUCUUAGGAUUGUAAAAUCCUUUCACCGGUGAAGAUAAUGACUGUAGCCGGAGAAGAAGCCCCGGCUAACUUCGUGCCAGCAGCCGCGGUAAUACGAAGGGGGCUAGCGUUGCUCGGAUUUACUGGGCGUAAAGGGCGCGUAGGCGGACAUUUAAGUCAGGGGUGAAAUCCCGGGGCUCAACCUCGGAACUGCCUUUGAUACUGGGUGUCUUGAGUAUGAGAGAGGUGUGUGGAACUCCGAGUGUAGAGGUGAAAUUCGUAGAUAUUCGGAAGAACACCAGUGGCGAAGGCGACACACUGGCUCAUUACUGACGCUGAGGCGCGAAAGCGUGGGGAGCAAACAGGAUUAGAUACCCCUGUAGUCC